GGCACUGGAGUGGAAUACACAAAGAAUCUGGCUUCCUGAAGGAUAGUGUAAAAAGAGUCAGAUUGGAGUGGAAUGGGCUGACAUAGACAACUUGCCUGGGUAGACAGACAGUUGGACUGUACCAAAAGAGUAACACCAGACACACUAAUCAGUUUUCUGACCUCUGAGUUGAAGAUCAACCUUUCAGAUCCCAGGUCUUGACUCAACAGAAAUGAUGCACUUGGCCACGGAGAGACAUGAACAACGUCUCCAGUAGCAGUAUUCAUAACGACCUCAAACUGGAAACAUUGGUAUGUGAGCCAUAGGCUGGAUGGGCAUGUUGCAGUGUUAGUCUGUAGCCCCAGCUACUGUAACCCACAAGGAAGACCUUCCCUGGCUGUCUUGGUUAGGCCUUCUACUGCUGUAAUAAAGCACACAAUGACCCAAUGCAACU